CUCCCAUUGAGAAUGGCUGCUCAGAAAGGUUAUGGAGAGACACUGGCUGUCAUGACUUCAUCCUGUCGCUUGUCAACCUGAAGGGACUGGCCAUUGUGAUCUCAUCCUGAUGCUGUCACCUGGGACUGAGACUUCCCUGAGUGCUAACAUGUUUCCUUGGGAAACAUGGAAAGUUUAGAGCUCAACCAGCUAAAGGAUUUGCUUCCCUCUACACACCCAAUUGUGCACCCUCCAGAUGAUGCAAAUGUCACAUUGGCACUCCAAGAGUGACAAGAACUCUGACUUUCCAGAAUCUUCAGUUAAAAUGGCAGAUGGAAGAUGGAGGCUGCUGGAGGCUGCAAUCUCACAGCUAAACACGUUAAACAAUGAAUGUGCCAAAAAGAAUGCAUGCCCUACUAAUAGGCCAGAAAAGCUGCAUGGUAGCUCUUGAAUGGGAAGGAUGGAUCGUUCUAAAU